rnacentral:lncRNA from 1 species
GUCAUUAAUAAUGAUAAAUCCCAUAAUAGAGUGAAAUAUAUCAACUGCGAAAAAACCAAACACAGCCCGACAUCGGGGUGUCACUAGUCAUGAGAAUCUAACAUAGUCUAAGAGUAUGAAAGAGUUUAUACAAUAUAUUACAUAACUAGGACAAGGAAAAUAAAAUAGGAGGGAGAAACACUGGGCUCCAAACGCCGAGCAGCUACCUAGUGGACUCCGAAUAGCUUGCUGAGCAAUCAACCCUCACUGGCGGGACCUGAAGCUCCUGAAUUUGCAUACAGGGUGCAUGGAGUAAAGUGAGUACUCCAACUCAGUGAAACAAUAAAUGAAGACUGAGCGAUAAGAAAUCACGUAACAACACAACAACAUGCUAUAAAGAGGCAGUGUAAAACCAAUAAGAUGCAAUAAAAUAGUGAAAUCUUAUAAAAAUACCUUGGUUCAGAAUAAGUUUCUUUAAAUCACCUUUUCAACAGUUAAUACAAGUAAAUGAAAAGCAGCUAGAAAAGGAUAAACACAUAAAAUCCGCCCCUCGGGCACAAUUGUCAACAGAAUCAGCCCCUCGGGAAAUAACAUGGAACAACACCAGCCCCUCGAGCUAUAUCUCAUAUCACAAUGGGUACUCGCGCUCACUAGGGGUGUACAGACUCCGGGAAGGACCCCUUAAGGCCCAAGCGCAAUAUCAAGCCAUCUCGUGGCAUAAUCAAUAGGCUCUCAGCCUCAUCUCAAGCCACCUUGUAGCGUAUAACUCAGGCCAUCGACCUCAUAAUCAUGAAUCAGUUCAAUACCGCUGCGGCGCGUAGCCCGAACCCAUAAUAACCUCACAACACAGGCCCUCGGCCCUACUUAGUCAGAAAUCUCUAAAAGCCACUCGGGCACAGUAAAAUAUGAUGCUCAGCCCAAAAUAUCAUUUAAAGUGUUAAAAAUAGAGUAAACAUGGCUGAGUUAUGAAAAUAAUAUAAUAUAGCAUGAUUGAGUACAGAUAUAAAAAUCAGAACAGUGAGAAAAUAGCAGUAAAAAUCCCCUAAGGGUCCAAAUAGUUGGCACGAGGCCCAAAUAUGGCAUGCGGCCCAAAACAUGAUGAUAGCAAACAAUUUUCAAACAAAUACGCGGUAAAACAGUCAUUGGGGAUGGACUAAAUCACAAUCCCCAACGGUGCAUGACCCCACGCUCAUCAUCUAGCGUGUGUGUCACCUCAAUAUAGCACAACGAUGUGAAAUUCGGGGUUUUAUACCCUCAGGACAACAUUUACAAUCAUUACUCAUCUCUAUCCGAUCCGAACUCUAGCCUGCGAUGCCCUUGCCUCUCGAAUUGCCUCAGGAUGCUCCAAAUCUAACCAAAAUCAAUGCAAAACCAUCAAAAUAUUCUAAGGGAACAAGGCCCACUCGAAAGAAAUCAAAUUACAACACAAAUUCUGAUAUUGGCCAAACCCGAGCCCCGGGCCCACAUCUUGGAUUCCGAUAAAAAUUACAUCAAUAGACUCCUUAUCACUCCCCGAGUUUAUUCAUAUCAAAAUCACCAAAAUCCAACCACAAAUGAUCCCUCAAAUCCGUAAUUUUAGAUCUCCAAUUAAAAGUCCUAGUUCUUCAAUAUUAUGCUUAAGUUUCAUGAUUAAUUAGGUAGAAAACACAUUAGGAUUGAGUAUUAAGUUCAUAAAUCUUACCUCCAAGCAUUCCCCCUUGAUUCCCUCUUCAAUUCACUUCAAAAAGCUUCAAAAUCGCCCAAAAAUGUAGGAACUUAGACCCAAAAUCGCGAAAAUGGUCUUUUAAACAUUCUGCCCAGGCAUUCAAAUCCUUCUACGCGAACGCGGUCAACCUUUUGCGUUCACGAAGCACAAACUUAGGUUGACCAGAAGUUCCUCUUACGUGAACGCGAUCACCCCUCGCGAACGCGAUGCCUCAACAUUCAACCCUUCGCGGACGCGACAUCAACCUCGCGAACACGAUGACUGACAAGCUCAACCCUUCACAAUCGUGGGACCUCCUUCGCGAACGCGAAGGCCAAUUGUCUGCAACACCCAACAACAGAUUUCUGCAAUCUUUUUUCAGCAUGAAAUGGUCCGUUUAACCNNNNNNNNNNNNNNNNNNNNNNNNNNNNNNNNNNNNNNNNNNNNNNNNNNNNNNNNNNNNNNNNNNNNNNNNNNNNNNNNNNNNNNNNNNNNNNNNNNNNNNNNNNNNNNNNNNNNNNNNNNNNNNNNNNNNNNNNNNNNNNNNNNNNNNNNNNNNNNNNNNNNNNNNNNNNNNNNNNNNNNNNNNNNNNNNNNNNNNNNNNNNNNNNNNNNNNNNNNNNNNNNNNNNNNNNNNNNNNNNNNNNNNNNNNNNNNNNNNNNNNNNNNNNNNNNNNNNNNNNNNNNNNNNNNNNNNNNNNNNNNNNNNNNNNNNNNNNNNNNNNNNNNNNNNNNNNNNNNNNNNNNNNNNNNNNNNNNNNNNNNNNNNNNNNNNNNNNNNNNNNNNNNNNNNNNNNNNNNNNNNNNNNNNNNNNNNNNNNNNNNNNNNNNNNNNNNNNNNNNNNNNNNNNNNNNNNNNNNNNNNNNNNNNNNNNNNNNNNNNNNNNNNNNNNNNNNNNNNNNNNNNNNNNNNNNNNNNNNNNNNNNNNNNNAAUCACCCAAAUAGCACGAACUUCUUCAAAGUCUGUGGGAGCCCAACUACAAAGUCCAUGGUGAUCCGCUCCCACUUCCACUCUAGAAUAUCCAUCUGCUGAAGCAAGCCACUCGGUCUCUGAUGCUCAUAUUUCAUCUGCUGACAAUUGUGACACCGAGCUACAAAUCUCACUAUGUCCUUCUUCAUUCUCCUCCACACACCCAAUACCAACUCUCGAAGCAUCACAAUACACGGUAUAUGAACUUAAAACUGAUGGCAAAACUAACACUGGAGUUGUGGUCAAGGCAGUCUUGAGCUUCUGAAAGCUCUCCUCACACUCAUCUGACCACCUGAAUAAAGCACCCUUUUGAGUCAACUUGGUCAAGGGCGAUGCGAUAGAUGAGAAUCCCUAAACAAACCAGCGGUAAUAACCCGCCAAACUAAGAAAGCUGCGAAUCUAUGUGGCUGAGGACGGUCUGGGCCAACUCUGAACCGCAUCUAUCUUCUUCAGAUCAACCUGAAUACCCUCGCUGGACACCACGUGCCCCAAGAAAUCCACUAAACUGAUCCAAGACUCACACUUAUAGAACUUUGCAUAAAGCCUCCCUCAAUCUUUGCAAUACAACUCUCAAAUGCUCUGCAUGCUCCUCUUGACUACAUGAGUACACUAGAAUAUCAUCAAUGAAAACUAUGACAAAUGAGUCGAGAUAAGGCCGGAACACGCUGUUCAUUAAAUGCAUUAACGCUACUAGGGCAUUGGUCAGCCCAAAAGACAUCACCAGGAACUCAUAAUGACCAUAUCGGGUCCUGAAAGCAGUCUUAAGAAUAUUUGAGUCUCUGAUCUUCAACUGGUGAUAACCUGAACGGAGAUCAAUCUUAGAAAACACCGUCGCUCCCUAGAGCUGGUCGAAUAAAUCAUCAAUGCAAGGCAAAGGAUACUUGUUCUUAACUAUUACUUUGUUCAACUGCCUAUAAUCAAUUAACAUCCUCAUAGUGCCAUCCUUCUUCUUCACAAAUAGAACUGGCGCACCCCAAGGCGACACACUAGGCCAAACAAAUACCUUAUCAAAGAGUUCCUGAAGUUGCUCCUUCAACUCCAACUCUGUUGGUGCCAUAUAAUUCGAUGGAAUAGAAAUGGGCUGAGUGCCUGACACCAGGUCAAUACCAAAAUCAGUAUCCCUGUCCGGUGGCAUGCCCGACAGAACUACAGGAAACACAUCGGGAAAAUCCCUCACAAUUGGAACAGAAUCAAUACUAGGAGCCUCUGCACCGGCAUCCCUCACAAAGGCUAAAUACGAAAGACAAGAAUGAAAUUACCCUACUGGGAACGUAAUCAGUCAAACCUCGCCACUCAAUCCGUGGCACACCCGGCAUAGCUAAUGUCACUGUCUUAGCAUGACAGUCCAGAAUAGCACGACACAGAGAUAGCCAAUCCAUGCCCAAAAUAACAUCAAAAUCCACCAUACAUAACAACAAAAGAUCCAUUCGGGUCUUCAGACCCCCCAAUAGUCACCACACAUGACUGGUACACACGGUCUACAACAAUAGUAUCACCCACCGGAGUAGAUACAUGAACAGGUGAAAUAAGAGACUCACCGGGCAUAUCCAAAUAAUGAACAAAGUAUGAUGACACAUAGGAAUAAGUGGAACCGGGAUCAAAUAAUACAGAGACAUCUCUGUGGCAGAAUGAAAUAAUACCUGUAAUAACAGCAUCGGAAGCAAUAGCAUUGGGUCUAACUGGAAGUGCAUAGAAACGGGCCUGACCGCCACCUGAUCGACCUCCCCCUCUAGGGCGACCCCUAACUGACUGACCUCCACCCCUAGCUGGGUGGGUGGUGGUGGUGAAGUAACCGGCGCUAAAGCCGAUGGCUGACUCCUCUGCUGAGAUGAACCCGCAAGACGACGAGGACACUGGCUCCACAUAUGACCCAUCUAUCCACACUCAUUGCAACUCUCGGGUGUUGGAGACAAGGACUAAAGGGAACCCUAGCAUCGGAAUGACUAGCAGAUGCACCUAGCUAGAAGAGCCCCGAACUGAUGGAGCACGGGAUGAACUCUGAGCUGGAAGGGCACUGAGUGAUGACUGGCCCUGAUUAGUGUUAUACCCCAUUUUAACACGGGUCAAAUUAGAGUAUAACAUAUUGAUAAUUCUAGGGGUUUAAUUAAUUAAAAAGAGCCGCCACCUAAUUGGUUUAAUGGUGAAUUAGGACACCAAUUUAGCUAAAUAAUGCUUAACUCGGUCUGCUUAACCUUAAGAUUAUGGGUAAGGAUUCUAAUUAAUCCUAUAGGGAAGGUUGUAAAAGCACUCUAUAUGACCCAAUAACUACGGUUAACCCGUCAAACUUAGGUUAAUUAAUUUAAGAUCUUAGAAUAAAUCAGAUGUAUGCCUAACGAUUAAAGUAUAUAUAUACAUAUCCAAUAGCUAAAAAUAAUUUGAUGGAAAAGACUGACGUUAGAUGACUUCUUUUAACUUAUUCAAAAUUCAUUCUUAAAGGAAAAGUUUUCCAGUUGCUUAAAGGGAAGCAAUUCUCAUAAAUAAAAAUUAUUUAGCUAGAAUUAAACAUCUUCAUUCGAAACCUUCAACUUAACGGAAUUAGAAAUGGGCUUGACAAGAAGUUAUUGGAAAGCCAUCAUUUUAACAAAUUGACCUCUUAAAAAAGUGUUAGAGGUAUAACAUUAAGCUUAUUAGAAAAUGCUUAUACCAAUAGCAAAUAGAUAAAAAGGUUAAUAAAUUAGCGAUCUUAAAUUCCUAAAGAUUAUAUGAUCAGUGAAACUAGAUGAUUAAACCUCAAACUAAAAUAAACUCAAAAUAUAGAAAUAAAUUAACAAUCAUAAAGAUAGAUAAAAUGACUAGCAAAAGAAAUAAAAGGACAUCAUAGGCGCCCCAAGCGUUUCGCUUGUUUUUCUUGUUAUCCGGUGACUUUAGAAGUUGAUAUGUGAUGACUCCAUGCUCGCGAAUGGGAGAGUCUUGCAUUAAGACUCAUAUUGCUCCAAAGUGCAUAUGCAAAUCAAAGAAAGAGAAAAUCAAGAAAUUAGAAAGAGAGGAGUUAGAAAUAGACUUGGACAAAAUUUACAGCAAGAUUUAUGGUCUUUAUACAUGUUUUCUAACAGAAAUAAUAACUCAGAAUAUUAACUUUCCAUGUUCAUGUGAAAUCUAAAGGGUCGAACAGAUUAAUAUGGUGAACAUAAUCCUUGACACUUUGAACAACAUGGUUACCCACUUCCAUGUUAAGUCUUAAAAUUGGAUAUUAAAGUCCUAGUAGCAUGCUUUCUAAAGGAAAUGCCGAAGCAGCAGCAGACCUUUUUAAGACAACUAAUACGCAUGAUAUCAUUUAACACACAAAGCACAUACUUUCUUACUGUAUUUCAAGUAAUAUCCUAAUGGCACACUCGAUAGUAACAGUAAGGAAGGAAAAUAAUUUAAAAGGUUCAUCAAUGUCAAACUCCUCUUAACUUCUAUUGUUCUUCGACACCAAACGUGCUUCUGCUAUGAGAGAUUAAGAUAUAUAUUUUUUAUUUAUUAAAUAAAUCAGAAAAUAUAUUAACAUAUUUCUGGCAUGAAAAUCUAGAAGAAACUUUUACAACUAGCAAAGACACCUUACUUUGAAUAGCUAAACGAGCUUCUACUUCGUAUGAGGCAACUUAAGGCAGAAUUUUUCUUUAAACAAAUGAUAAAAAGUCACAAUACAUGGUUUCUACAUGAUCUUUGAAUAAGGACAAAUAAAUAUAUCUGUGCAACAGUUCACAGUGACUUUCACCAAGCAAAAUAACAGUAACUUGCUAUUGAUAUCACUUUAGACAUAACAUCGAAUCGUGUUUCUAACGAAGCUUCUUGACAUGAUAUUAUCUAUUCAAUAGCCAAACAAACUAAAUUAAGUAAAGUAGUUAGGUCGUCUUGCUAUUUAGCACAAAGAAUAAAACAUGGUUUGGCCAGCAUAUUAAUCAUGUUUAAGAAUUUAAAAUAAAAGAAAAAGGAGAAAGUGCUGACCUCUAUCGGGGCAGUAAACUAAGGCGGCUGUCUAGGAUUUACUCCUUUCUCACCGAAGCCGAAGGUUUAUGAAACUACAAAGAGGGGCUAAAGCUUUUAUGAAAUUUCUAGCUAAACGAAUAGUAAAAUUUGAGGGGUAAAGUUGUGGCCUCCAACCUCUAUCCAGAUGGACUCCAAGUGCUGGUUUUUAUACGUGAAAAACUAGAGUUCUUGAUUUGGGUUUGAAAUUCAGAUUUUCCCCAAAAGAGAUGAAAUGGAGCCGUUUGAAUUUUAACGUUGGGGAUUCUGGACGAACUCAGCAGAGCUUUUUGAUUUUUUGCAGAGAGUUACCCAAAAUGGUAAGGCUUCUCUUGUAGCCUUCAAAAUUUGGAAUGUUGUGCAGCAAGAAAAGUGAAAAAUGGAGAACCUCCAUGUGAGCAAAGAGAGAGAAAAGAAGGUUUGCUAAUUCAGACUUCUGGGAGUGGAUUUGAGGCGAGAAUUCAUUGUAAUUAAAUGUUGAAUUCUUGAGAUCCAAAAUAAGGGAAUAUAAAAGAUAAUUCAAUUUCAUAGAAUGAUCUAGAAUAUGAUAUUGGGCUAAUGUUUGGUCUGCUUUAACUGUUUGGAGAUGGCUUUUGGCCGAAUUGGGCCUUCAUUUUGGGGCUCAGUUCAGAUGGGGUUGAUUAGGCAAAUUUUUGGAUAGCUGAAUUGAAUACUUGGGCUUAUGAGUAGGCCAAAAUAAAAUAAUGUUCUCCCAUCUUAAAAUUUAAUUCUUUGAGUUUCUAAUUUAUUCCAAAAUAUCCUAUUACCUACAUUAUAUAAUAAGAUGUAAAUAUGCCUUAAUAAAAUUAUUAGCAUUUGUAGAAAAAUAGUAGACUAAUUGUUAAGUAAAAUUUAUAAUGCAAUUAGAGCAAAUAUAUAUAUAAACGGUAGGAUUAGGGAAAAUAUUACUAUUUGGUUGAAUAAAAGAAAUGAUAUGCUUUUCGCAAAAGACAGUAAAAGUUAUAAUUAGAAUGUCAAAUAUAAUAAUAAUAAAAAUAAAAUAAUAAUAAUAAUAAUAAUAAUAAUAUUAAUACUAGUAAUAGUGAUAUUAAGUAAAUAAUAAUAAUUAGGUCUAGUUGGUGCGAAAAAUGGUAAAAUAACUAUUCUUACAUUAUUAGUGAUAUUAGAAGCUUAAAGAAAUAGUUUGGAAGAAAGUAGAGACAAAAUUGGAUGUCAACAGCAGCCCCUCUUUAAGUAGCCAAUUUAGUAGCCAAUGAAAGAGUUUUCGGGCAAAGAAUAUUGACUUAGUAGCCAAUUUUGUCCCGACCAUCAAGAUCGGAGUCGGACAAAGGGGACAUAAAAAAAAUUAAUUGCGGCCGAAGUUCGGUUUCGAGUUGCCUACAUAUCUCGGGUUUCACAAGAAUCAGGUCAUAUGUAGUUCAAGACUUAUGGUACCCUAGAGUAGAACUCACUUAUUGAUGUGGAUCCUAAAAUGCCGCCCCAGUGUCGAAUAAUAGAGACAUUGGGUACCAUGAUUGAAAGAAAGAUGUUGGAAAUAAGAAUUUGAUUAUGAAUUUUGAGUGUCGAGCUGAGCGGAGUUUGAAGUAGAUCCUUGACCUUUGUUGGAGAGUUUGGUAUUCCUCUCCAACAAAUUGCCCCAGUACACUGCUAAGAUAUAGUUCCACGUUGUGUUAUGUUUUCUGCAAAGCUUGACAUACUAGAUAAUUCGUUAGGAAAUAAGAUGCAGUGUGCCAUAAAAAAUAAUUUUAUGAAAAUAAUAUUUAGACGUCAAUUCAUGAGAAAUGUGAAUUUAUUGUGCAAACAUAUAAAAAAAAUAUUGUUUUGGUGAUAUAUUUCAUGAUCGCAAUGCCAUAUGAAAAUUUAGCUUAUGAAAAUAAAUGCAUUCGGAAAUAAUUUAUGAAAGAUAUAUUUUGACAAUGCUUAUGCAAGUAGGACCGCUCGGGUCGAAAUAAAUUAAAUGUCAUUUUGAGGAAGGAUUAACUUCAAUAUCCUAUUUGAGUGCGGAUUGACCCGAUAUAUCCUAUUUGAGGGCGGAUGGACCCGAUAUAUCCUAUUUGAGGGCGGAUGGACCCGAUAUAUCCUGUUUGAGGGCGGAUGGACCCGAUAUAUCAUGUUUGAGGGCGGAUAGACCUGAUAUGUCCUAUUUGAAGGUGGACAAGCCUCACAUAUGGUGCUUGAUUUGCAAUUAGAAAGAUUGAUGUGGUGCGCAGAGCUUGAUAUGCUGCCCAUUUUGUAAUGGUAAUUCAUGGGGCGAUGCAAAAAUCAUUGUGAGAUGAUUUUGUUGGAGUGAAUAUCCAUGAUGCGGAGAGCUUGAUGUAGUGUCUUUACAGGAAAAUAUUCCAGGAGCGGUGCCCAUAAUUUAGGAAUUUGCAUGCUGAAGUUUAUUGUUAGUAAAUUCCUGCACUCAAAGAAAACUACGAGUUUCAAGAUAUAAUUUGCGAUAUCUUGAAAUGCAAUGUGUUAUAAAGUAAUCUUAUGAAAAUGACACAUUUUGGGUGUUUACUUAUACAAUGCGGCCUCGCAUGCCAAAAUGAUUUGAUGAAAAUGUAGCUUUCUGCCAGUAAUGAUUUUCGGCAAAAACAUGCAGGUUAUAAUUGUGCUUGGCAAUGAUUUGUGAUAAUGAUGCAUUUCAGUAAUGACAAUAAAAGCGUGACCAUCUAGGUUGAAAUAAAUUAAUGAAAAACAUUUGAGUAGGUGCUAAAGUGUCUUGUUGUUCAGGCGGACAACCUUAUGUCCCAUUAAUUAGGCGGACUUCCUUAAUAUCCUAUUAUUAGGUGGACAACCUUGUGCCCAAUUAAUUAGACGGACAUCCUAAUGUCCUAUUAAUCAGGUGGACUACCUCAUGUCCUAUUAUCAGGCAGACGACCUCAUGUCCUAUUAUCAGGCGGACUACCUUAUGUCUUAUUAAUCAGGCGGACGACCUCAUGUCCUAUUAAUCAGGCGGACGACCUCGUGUCCUAUUAAUCAGGCGGACUACCUUAUGUCCUAUUAUCAGGCGGACAACCUUAUGUCCUAUUAUCAGGCGGACAACUUCAUGUCCUAUUAAUCAGACGGACGACCUCAUAUCCUAUUAUCAGGCGGACGACCUUAUAUCCUAUUAUCAGGCGGACGACCUCAUGUCCUGUUAUUCAGGCGGACGACCUCGUAUCCUAUUAAUCAGGCGGACAACCUCAUAUCCUAUUAAUCAGGUGGACGACCUUUUUGUCCUAUUAUUAGGUGGACGAACCUAGAUGCAUGUCUCUUGAUUUGCAAUUUCAAAUAUUGGUGCGGUGCAGAAGCUUGGUACGAUGCUUGAUUUGUAGUCUUGGAAUUCAUAAUGCGGUGUAAAGAGCUUGGUGUAAUUUCUUUGAAGUAACACAUAUUGAUGGUACAAUGCAGAGAGCUAGGUACGACGCUUUUGCAAUAGCGAAUGGUGCGGUCCAUAGAACUUGAUGCAAUGCCUUUGUAUUAAAGAAAUUCCUAGUGCAACGCCAACAAUUGUUGGAGCUUCAAAAUAAAUUUUUGUAAUUAAUAAAUUCCUGCACUCAAAGAAAAAUUAUAAGUUUCAAAGUUUGAUUUGCUCUUGCUUGGCUUCAUCUUUUGCUUUGCAUGAACCUUGCGACUUUUGACUUGAUGUCGAGCUUUGCGAUAGCAUGUAAUGUUCAAGAAUAGCUAAAAUAUGCCCCUGCAUUACUCAAAGCAAAUUUGUUAGUAUAAAAUAAAGUGGUUGCCUUGCAUUGAACGCCAAAGUUUGGCUUUGAAUCUGUAACUUGUUGUCAUGGCAUUCUGGAAUUUGUUGUUGUGCUUGUAACAAAUAUGUAGCUCGAGAUUUCAUUUUCUGCUUUGACGAAUGAUGAGGAUCCUUCUGCAAAAUUUGCCCCGAUUUUAGCUUUUAGGGUAAAUAGGAUUUUUAUUAUGAUGAGACCGAACCCAUAAGGCUGCCUACAUACCCCUCUUAAACGGGAAUCAGGUCAAAACGUAGUUCAUUUAUAAAAGCAAGGCAUAAUUACAAAAAAUAGUUACUCAUAUGAUGAUAGUUGCAAAAUGAUAAUUCCAUCAAUGCAAGGUGAACUAGUCCAAACGACGUUUCUUCUUCGGAUGGCCAACCACGCUCGGUAUAUUACUUGUGCUGCGGCUAAUUGCAUUUGAGAUAUUUGUUCCAACUGGUAGGUGCACUUGUAGUUUGUUAACAUCAAUUAAAUUCUGAAUCUUAUGUUUUAAUGCUAGGCAUUCUUCUGUAUCAUGACCAUGAGCAUUUGAAUGAUAAACACAAUACUUUGACAGGUCGAAUAAUGGAUGUGAAGUGUAAAAAAAUCCUUCCUUUUCUUGGUUGCAUAAUUCCUGAGGCAUUCAAUCGAGCGAAUAUGCUAGAAAUUGGUUCACUCAGAGGUGUAAAGUCGCAGGGCUUUCUUUUCUUUAAUUGAUAUUGAAUACUUUGUUGGCGAUGAGGCUGGAGAUGCAUGUCGUGGGCGUUAGAAAUGGCAUGAUUUUGCAAAAGCUGGUGAUUCUGAUGGCAUUCUAGUUGAUGCAUAUUCAUGGCAACUGCGGCAUUUUGCUUCUCUUUACUUUUCCGAUUUUUCAGCGUCUUAGGUUGUAAAGCAUGAAUGAUAGUUUGCAUGCUAACCUUUCCUUCUUUGAUGCCACUUUCUAGAAAGUCCCCGACUCUAAUCAAGUUACGUACGUUCGCAGUAGCCAGCUUUUCAUAGUAUAUGCCAUUUUGAAUGUUAAUGAAGAUUGAGAUCAACUCUUUCUCGGAUAGCAGAGGGUGCACCUUCGAAGCUUCAACUCUCCACCGGAUUGCAUAAUCCUGAAAAGAUUCAUGUGGCAUUUUAUCUAUUUUGUACAGGCUAUGCAUGUUUGGAUCAGCUCCAAGGUUGAACUCAUAUUGCUUUACAAAAUCGUGAGUCAUGGCAUCCCACGUGUGCCAUUUGCUAAAAUUUGUUUUGUGUACCAAACAAGUGCAGGUCCUGAUAAGCUUUGAAUAAAUAAUUUCAUCCGAAUGGACUCGUUGUGUCCUAUGCCAAUUAACCUGCUACAAUAGUCUUUCAAAUGAGCAAUGUGAUUUCCCUUCCCGUUGAAAGUAUUAAAUUUUGGCAUCUGGUACCCUGGUGGGAGUUCUACAUCUGGUUGCAGGCAUAAGUCUUCAUAUCGUAGACUUUGGUAAUUUCUUGAUUGAAAUUCUUCUCCAAUGACUUUCUUUAAAUCACGGAGUUUUUAUCCAAAUCUUUACGGCAAAUUUGCUGGAUUUAUUUUCCACGUCUCUUAUGAGGGCAUACUGUUAGUUGGUUUUGCUUGCUUUCUUCAAAUAGAGUUGUGGUUAUGAAAACUUAUGAGGGCAUACUGUUAGUUGGUUUUGCUUGCUUUCUUCAAAUAGAGUUGUGGUUAUGAGAGACAUUUUCAUGACUUGAUUGAGGUUGCAGGUUGAUGGAACUUGUGUAGAGAUUGCAUAAGUAGGAGCUGGGCAAGGAGAUAUGGUUAAGCAGAUAUUUCGGUUUGAGAAGUGGAGGUUGUAUUUGGAAGAAGGUUAAAAGUGCUUCCCAGAUUAACCAACAUGUUCCUUUGCACCACAUUCACCUUGGUGCCAUCAUUCUGUGAUUGCAAUUGUCCCAUACCGGUAUUGAAUUCUUCAAAACGGUCUGCCAUUAUAGCCCGUCCUUUAUGUAGAUACGCAGUCAAAACAAUGUUCAAUGCUAGGCAACCUUUAAAGGAAAAAUAAAACUUUACAAAAUAAAAGUAAAGUGUUAGCGUAUUUAUCAUAAUCAAAUAAAUGCACAAAGUAAUAAAGUAUGUAAUUAGAUAGAUUAAUUCAUGAUAUGGUUAAGCAGGAGUCCUAAACUGGAAAUGAUGGCCUAAGUUGCAAAAUGGAUGAACAAGAAUGGCUUGUUAUCUAGAGGGCUCUAACGCACGAGACUUGUUGACAUGGAAGCAGAAUGAUUUGAAGUUUUUUGAAGGGCUGACUUAUGUCCAACAUCAAAGCUUUAGCUCUAUCAUAGGUUCUUGUCCUUACAUGGCUUUGAAAUUUUCAAAAAUUGCCCCAAUCUUUAGGAAUCUUUUUAUUAUUACUCCAUGGCUUGAUGUCCCUUUCGAGCAUAUCAACCCGCGUGCUAAAAAUCUGCCCCAGUUUUUUGCUAUAAUGAGACUAAGCCUUACAUAGGUUGCAUGCGCAUCCAAAAUAAGGGAAGGUGGGUGGGGAAUGAUAAUCUUUCAAUUUUUUGUUAUCUUGUUAAUCAUGCUUCUUCUUCAUACACAUUGUUGGCAGCUUAGAAUGCCCUUUCUAGCAAGAAAGAGUGCAGAUUUGGAAAAACUAGGCAUUACACUCAUAAGUGGGAGAUGCAGCUGUACGAAAUGGAGAUGCCUUUUUCGUUGAACGGGUUCUUAAGAUCAUCUAUCACUUCCUUGACGCCAUUAAUUUCUUGCCCCAUUUGCCACUUUUGCUUCAAGCCUAGCAAUCUUAUCUUUGUAUGAUUUGUAUUUCUUGUACUCAAACUCAUCUGCAUCUAGGUCAAUCACUGUGAUUUGGUUGGCCAUAUUGUCCUUGAACUUGUGUUGCUUUGAUGUUCAACUCAAGUCAAUUUCUUUUGGAAAAAGGUAUAUAUAGUCACUAUGGAGUAGAUAAAUAUUAAAGGAUAAUGGUAGAAUAUUUGGGAAUGUAUGCCUAAGAAACCGACGAGAUCGGGUCUUGUAAUAUUACAAUGUCUAAGAGAGGCCAAAGAUGUGAGAUUUUAAUUAAAAAAAAAUAAUUUGCUGGUAUUUGGAUAUAAGGAUAUGGUAGUCAAUUGACAUGAAAAUACUCUAAUUUUUUUUAGCAUUGGCAAGUCAUAAAGUUAUCGAGGCCUGGGAAUACGGUGCCAACCGUUUUGAAACUUUACGGGAUACUACCUCGACUCACGUGCCAAAACAUAGAAUUAACGGGCACGUGAAAAUCAAUCUCGACAACCUGAAAUAAGACGACACAUACACUUGAAUUGAAUAGGUAAAAAAUUUAGAAUAAUUCAACAAUGCAAAUUGACCAAAUAGUGGUGUUCCAAUGCUUGGUAGAUUAUGCAAGUUUGGACAUCUACCCACUUGUAAAUGUGUGUUGGCACGAAGGUUGAAGUACUAAGAGAUAUGAAGCUAUGAAACGAAUAUUGAAGAUACAAGAUUACGCCGAAAUUGGAAAACUUAAGAAAGAAUUGAAAAUUAUGUAAGGAACGAAUGGCAAUAUUUUUUUAAAAAGAAAUAUGUAACUACAUUUUUGAGAAAAGAACGCGAAUAAAAUCAACUCGGGAAAUUAGAUGGGAAAAAUAUUUUCUAAUUAUGAAAUAUUACGCCAAUUUUCUUUUUAAGAAGUAGGAAUUAUAUCUUGCUAUAGGGAGUGAGAUGCUCAUUGUUGUCUAAAGAAAAUUCUUAAUGCUAGUUUAAGGCACGAAUAUCGAUGAAUUUUUAUGACGACUGAGCUUAUUGAAGUGUUUGCGGGCAGAAAUGCCUUAUAAAUAAUAGAAGAUCAUGCCCAAAGACUAAAAAGGUAUAUUAAUUAGACUCUAAGAAUUGGAGUGGACCUAAGAAAAAUUUGGGCCUAAGUAAAUACCUAAUUUGUGCUCUAGAGUCGUCAAAGAAUAAAACAUGGUUUGGCCAGCAUAUUAAUCAUGUUUAAGAAUUUAAAAUAAAAGAAAAAGGAGAAAGUGUUGACCUCUAUCGGAGCAGUAAACUAGGGCGGCUGUCUAGCAUUUACUCCUUUCUCACCGAAGCCGAAGUUUUAUGAAACUAAAACUAAAAGCAAAGAGGGGCUAAAGCUUUUAUGAAAUUUCUAGCUAAACGAAUAGUAAAAUUUGAGGGGUAAAGUUGUGGCCUCCAACCUCUAUCCAGAUGGACUCCAAGUGCUAGUGUUUAUACGUGAAAAUCUAGGGUUCUUGAUUUGGGUUUGAAAUUCAGAUUUCCCCCAAAAGAGGUGAAAUGGAGUCGUUUGAAUUUUAACGUUGGGGAUUCUGGACGAACUCAGCAGAGCUUUUUGAUUUUUUGCAGAGAGUUACCCCAAAAUGGUAAGGCUUCUCUUGUAGCCUUCAAAAUUUGGGAUGUUGUGCAGCAAGAAAAGGGAAAGAUGGAGAACCUCCAUGUGAGCAAAGAGGAAAAAAGAAGGUCUGCUAAUUCAGACUUCUGGGAGUGGAUUUGAGGCGAGAAUUCACU